UUUANGGGGCACCUNGAUCCAGCCAUUCCGCGGUGAGUGAAGAAGGCCUUCGGGUUUGUAAAGCUCUUUCGCCNUNAACGAAACGGUGUGGGCUAAUACCCCAUAUCAAUGACGGUACCUGAAGAAGAAGCACCGGCUAACUACGUGCCAGCAGCCGCGGUAAUACGUAGGGUGCGAGCGUUAAUCGGAAUUACUGGGCGUAAAGCGUGCGCAGGCGGUUUUGUAAGACAGGUGUGAAAUCCCCGGGCUUAACCUGGGAACUGCGCUUGUGACUGCAAGACUGGAGUGUGGCGGAGGGGGGUGGAAUUCCACGUGUAGCAGUGAAAUGCGUAGAGAUGUGGAGGAACACCGAUGGCGAAGGCAGCCCCCUGGGUUAACACUGACGCUCAUGCACGAAAGCGUGGGGAGCAAACGGGAUUAGAUACCCUGGUAGUCCACGCCCUAAACGAUGCGAACUAGGUGUUGGAGAAGGAGACUUCUUUAGUACCGUAGCUAACGCGUGAAGUUCGCCGCCUGGGGAGUACGGUCGCAAGAUUAAAACUCAAAGGAAUUGACGGGGACCCGCACAAGCGGUGGAUGAUGUGGAUUAAUUCGAUGCAACGCGAAAAACCUUACCUACCCUUGACAUGCCAGGAACCCUGCAGAGAUGUGGGGGUGCUCGAAAGAGAACCUGGACACAGGUGCUGCAUGGCUGUCGUCAGCUCGUGUCGUGAGAUGUUGGGUUAAGUCCCGCAACGAGCGCAACCCUUGUCAUUAGUUGCCAUCAUUUGGUUGGGCACUCUAAUGAGACUGCCGGUGACAAACCGGAAGGAAGGUGGGGAUGACGUCAAGUCCUCAUGGCCCUUAUGGGUAGG
rnacentral:rRNA from 1 species